AUCUGCGGCCAUAGGACCCUGAAAGCACUGCAUCCCGUCCGAUCUGCAAACUUAAGCAGGGUACCGCCUAGCUAGUACUGCGGUGGGGGACCACGUGGGAAUCCUAGGUGCUGCAGUCA
rfam:Pseudozyma flocculosa PF-1 unplaced genomic scaffold scaffold00019, whole genome shotgun sequence.